GUCUACGGCCAUACCACCCUGAACGCGCCCGAUCUCGUCUGAUCUCGGAAGCUAAGCAGGGUCGGGCCUGGUUAGUACUUGGAUGGGAGACCAACAGAGUCAACAAGGAAAAGAUC
rnacentral:rRNA from 2 species